GCGGCACGGCAAGCUCCUUGUGGUAAAGUGACAAGCUCUGUGUCCGGCGUCCGCUGCCCUCAGUCCCUCACUGUCCCUUGGUUCCUGCGCCAGGUUGCUGUCCCUGCGUGUGCAGAAUCACAGAAUCAGUUUGGCUGGAAAAGACCUCUGAGAUGAUUGAGUCCAACCUAUGAUCGAACACCAGAAUGUCGACUAAACCGCAGGACUAAAUACUAGGUCCAGUAUUUCCUUAAACACCUCGGGAAGGGUGACUCCACCAGCUCCCUGGGCAGCCCAUUCCAAUGUCUAAUCACCUUUUUUCUGUGAAGAAAUUCCUUCUAAUGUCCAACCUAAAGCUCUUCUGCUGCAGCUUAAGACGAUGUGCGCUUGUCCUGUCACGGGUUACCUGCGAGGAGAGGCUCCUUUCAGGUACUUGUAGACAGUGAUUAAGAUCUCUCCUGAGCCUGCUUUUGUCCGGAUUAAACACUCCCAGCUCCCUCAGGUGCUCCUCUAAGAAUUUAUGUUCCAGACCCAUCACCUUCUUGUUGCCCUUCUCUGGACCUGCUCCAGCAUCUCAGUGUCCUUCCUGAACUGAGGAGUCAAAACUGGGGAGAGCAGAGUAGGCUUUCCAGGUGCCACAGAGGUGGCUUCCGUCCAUGAGGAGAAAAACACCAACAGGGCCUGGCUGGCAAGGAGACCAGCUCCAUGGAAGUCCCUAUCCAGCCCAUGUGCAGAGCUGGAAGCAUCUGCCAGAGCAGAAAGAAGGACUGAAGUGUCAACAUUUGUUUUCCAUUAACUUGUGAAAACAUAGACAGCUAUUGUUAAAGCUGGAGACUUCCUGCUAUUUGGCUUGGAGGAAAAAGCAAGUGGGUGCUCAUGCUGAGCAGUUGUAGCCAACAAAGUUGUGCUCCAUGGACAUUGUUGCCAAGUCCCCUGUGCUGGUGGUGGGUGCUCUUUCGAGUGCACAGGGCUCAUAUCUUAUUAGUUCAGUCUUAGCUCCAGGCUUCAAACAAACAUGGUGAUCAGAUGCCUUCCAGAAGGUGCCUCCAGCAAGCAGCACUGUGGCCUGCCUGUCACCCCUCUGGGCACUGCAAGAUUUCCUUUUCCUUGGCUGUCUGGAUUUCCUGGGAGGUCUCUGCUGAUCCACCUCAGGCACAAGCAGCUGUACCUUAAGCAAGUGCCUCUGUGCAGCCCUUUCCUCAGGCCCUCUGUCACCACAGAGUUUAAUCUAAUGCAGACUUUUCCUCUAGGCAGGCCUGGAGGAUAGCAGCAGAAACCCAAAUUUCCCUUCUUGCAAAUGCAAGAGGAAUGUGGGAGCUCCAGCUCGGCAGAGGCUGAAAGGCUGGCUAAGAUCCAAUUGAGUAAAGUGCCCAUUUCAUAUCCAGUGGAGAUGCAAUGUAAACAUGCUGAAAAUUCUCGGCCAUCAAUCCUAUCCACAAACUCAAAUUUUUGGGAAACCAACUGCAAACAGUAUCCCAGCAUAUAUAUCUGCUCUUGGCCUGCUUUGCUUCCAUUCUCUCUUCCCCAUGUAGUGGUGUCCAAGAGCAAAGUGAAACAAGGGCUGAAUGAAGCAGUAGAAAGCUUUGCUAUCUCCACAGAGUGCAGGAAAGGAGUGUGGCCAAAAGCCAGAAAUGAAGCAUUCAGGAAUUUCUGACUAAAUCAGCUUAACUCUGCCCAGUGCUGAGCUGAUGGGAGAAGUCCCUCUGCUUUGCCCAGAGGUAGGAUUGAGACAGUGAAACAGGGGAUCUACAGAAGGGUCUUGAGGCUCCCCUGGGGUGGGUGGUACAGGACCCAGUGGGGCCUUUCCCUGCCUGGUUUGGAGCAUCCCCUUCCCUCAUUGCAUGGGGAGCAGGAAGUUUGUGCUGGCUGCUGAUCACAUAGAAAUGGUGAGUAUGUGACUGUGCUCUUUAGCAGCUCUGGCCCUAUGUGACUCAUAUUCCUUUCCAGAACUUAGUAUUUUCUUGUAUUCUAUAAUGUUCAAUGAUAAUUUUCACAUGAUUUUAAAGUACUGAAUUGUU